UGCAAGUCGAGGGGUAACAUAGAAAAGCUUGCUUUUCUGAUGACGACCGGCGCACGGGUGAGUAACGCGUAUACAACCUACCUUUUAGCGGGGAAUAGCCCAGGGAAACUUGGAUUAAUGUCCCAUAGUAUGGAGGUCUCUCCUGAGAUCAUCAUUAAACAUUUAUGGCUAUUAGAUGGGUAUGCGUCCUAUUAGUUAGUUGGUAAGGUAACGGCUUACCAAGGCAGCGAUAGGUAGGGGUCCUGAGAGGGAGAUCCCCCACACUGGUACUGAGACACGGACCAGACUCCUACGGGAGGCAGCAGUGAGGAAUAUUGGACAAUGGGCGAAAGCCUGAUCCAGCCAUGCCGCGUGUGUGAAGAAGGUCUUCGGAUUGUAAAGCACUUUAAGUUGGGAGGAAGGGUUGUAGAUUAAUACUCUGCAAUUUUGACGUUACCGACAGAAUAAGCACCGGCUGACUCUGUGCCAGCAGCCGCGGUAAU
rnacentral:rRNA from 1 species